rnacentral:tRNA from 1 species
GCCCUGAUACCCCAAUUUCGGCAGAGGGAGCGAGCUCAAACCUCGUUCAGUGUGGGUUCGAGUCCCACUCAGGGCACCA